UGAGCAGCUUUGGACCCGUGUCUGCCGGUAGAUCCCCCGACUUGUACUGCGGCCGACUACCGGCGCCGUGUCCCGUCCCUYGUGUGGCUUYGAAUCGCUGGAUUAANAGUGCUUGCGUGCUAGUACCCGACCUACGGGAAGUGGUGCUUCGGAUAAUUNUUGCCUCGCGGCGGACGCCCAUUGGGUGUGCCGCUGCGGCCAAAUAGCGCUUGCGGCGUUGCCUCGUGGGGCUGGCACAUUACGUGCCCGUUGCUAUCAAGGCAACCUCGCUCCCGCUUUUGGUCUCGGAUGCUGCUGACGAUAAAGGGUCGUGGCCCUUUCGGUUGCCUCGACCCGACCCAAAGCUCUCGGAAYUGAGAACAACCGGAACAGGAGUUGCCUCUACCUCUCCACAGUUAUGUGGUAGGAUACGCAACUCUCUGCGCCGAUCCUCAAGGANGAUGAGCUGUGCCGCUCAAGAGCGACNACCGGCCCGGCUGUUGCCUCUGAGUUUCCACGRAAGUGGAAGCGCAGAACGAUGGCCGUGCUGGNAGUCACCAAGGACGUGCU
rnacentral:misc_RNA from 1 species